rnacentral:rRNA from 1 species
AUCUGGUUGAUUCUGCCAGUAGUCAUAUGCUUGUCUCAAAGAUUAAGCCAUGCAUGUCUAAGUAUAAGCACUUUAUACUGUGAAACUGCGAAUGGCUCAUUAAAUCAGUUAUCGUUUAUUUGAUAGUACCUUACUACAUGGAUACCUGUGGGUAUUCUAGAGCUAAUACAUGCUAAAAACCUCGACUUCGGAAGGGGUGUAUUUAUUAGAUAAAAAACCAAUGCCCUUCGGGGCUCCUUGGUGAUUCAUAAUAACUUAACGAAUCGCAUGGCCUUGCGCCGGCGAUGGUUCAUUCAAAUUUCUGCCCUAUCAACUUUCGAUGGUAGGAUAGUGGCCUACCAUGGUGGCAACGGGUAACGGGGAAUUAGGGUUCGAUUCCGGAGAGGGAGCCUGAGAAACGGCUACCACAUCCAAGGAAGGCAGCAGGCGCGCAAAUUACCCAAUCCCGACACGCGGGAGGUAGUGACAAUAAAUACUGAUACGGGGUCUUUUGGGUCUCGUAAUUGGAAUGAGUACAAUCUAAAUCCCUUAACGAGGAACAAUUGGAGGGCAAGUCUGGUGCCAGCAGCCGCGGUAAUUCCAGCUCCAAUAGCCUUAUAUUAAAGUUGUUGCAGUUAAAAAGCUCGUAGUGAACCUUGGGUCUGGCUGGCCGGUCCGCCUCACCGCGAGUACUGGUCCGGCUGGACCUUUCCUUCUGGGGAACCUCAUGGCCUUCACUGGCUGUGGGGGGAACCAGGACUUUUACUGUGAAAAAAUUAGAGUGUUCAAAGCAGGCCUUUGCUCGAAUACAUUAGCAUGGAAUAAUAGAAUAGGACGUGCGGUUCUCUUUUGUUGGUUUCUAGGACCGCCGUAAUGAUUAAUAGGGAUAGUCGGGGGCGUCAGUAUUCAGCUGUCAGACGUGAAAUUCUUGGAUUUGCUGAAG